GAUGAUCCUUAUGAUAGCAGUCUACCUUUCCCUAAAAAAAGUUAGCUGUCUUAAAAAAAUCAAAGCUGAGAUCGGAUGAAAUCAAGACAGUUCUAGACUGGUGUGCCAAAUUGGCGAGGCAACGAGGAUAUAAAUAUUUUGGGACCUACAAUCUGAUGGAAUGUUGGAGUGGAUCAGAUUCCGAAGUACAUUAUGACAAGGAUGGUCCUUCCCAGGAGUGUUGGAAUGGCGUUGGUUAUGGCCUAUCCUUUAUGGUCUACAAAUUUGUGUGAUGAUUUAAUAAGGAAGCCUGGACAACUGAAGACUGAUAAACCGACUUGCAUUAUCGUAUAUUUUAGUAUUCAGAUAGUAAUUAGAAAUGGUAAAUGUAU